rnacentral:rRNA from 1 species
CGGCGCACGGGUGAGUAACGCGUAUGCAACUUACCUAUCAGAGGGGGAUAACCCGGCGAAAGUCGGACUAAUACCGCAUGAAGCAGGGGCCCCGCAUGGGGAUAUUUGCUAAAGAUUCAUCGCUGAUAGAUAGGCAUGCGUUCCAUUAGGCAGUUGGCGGGGUAACGGCCCACCAAACCGACGAUGGAUAGGGGUUCUGAGAGGAAGGUCCCCCACAUUGGUACUGAGACACGGACCAAACUCCUACGGGAGGCAGCAGUGAGGAAUAUUGGUCAAUGGGCGUAAGCCUGAACCAGCCAAGUCGCGUGAGGGAUGAAGGUUCUAUGGAUCGUAAACCUCUUUUAUAAGGGAAUAAAGUGCGGGACGUGUCCCGUUUUGUAUGUACCUUAUGAAUAAGGAUCGGCUAACUCCGUGCCAGCAGCCGCGGUAAUACGGAGGAUCCGAGCGUUAUCCGGAUUUAUUGGGUUUAAAGGGUGCGUAGGCGGCCUUUUAAGUCAGCGGUGAAAGUCUGUGGCUCAACCAUAGAAUUGCCGUUGAAACUGGGGGGCUUGAGUAUGUUUGAGGCAGGCGGAAUGCGUGGUGUAGCGGUGAAAUGCUUAGAUAUCACGCAGAACCCCGAUUGCGAAGGCAGCC